UUCCUGGUGAUUGAGAUGGUAAAGAGUCUGCCUGCAAUGCAGGAGACCUGGGUUCAAUCCCUAGGUUGGAAG
rnacentral:tRNA from 1 species